AAAUUUUAUAAUAAAUUUUAUUAUAAAAUUUAUUUAAUUGGGGCGAUUUUAAAAUAUUUUAAACUUUUAUAUUUUAUAAAAUGAUCCAUUAAUAAUGAUUAUAUGAAAGAAAUACUCUAGGGAUAACAGCGUAAUAAUUUUAGAUAGAUCUUAUAGAAAAAAUAGUUUGCGACCUCGAUGUUGGAUUAGGAUUCUUAUUUAAUGAAGAAGUUAAAAAAAGAAGUUUGUUCAACUUUUAAAUUCCUACAUGAUCUGAGUUCAGACC
rnacentral:rRNA from 1 species